rnacentral:rRNA from 1 species
GAUGAACGCUGGCGGCAUGCCUAAUACAUGCAAGUCGAACGAGAGGAAGGAAAGCUUGCUUUUCUGAAUCUAGUGGCGAACGGGUGAGUAACACGUAGGUAACCUGCCCAUGUGCCCGGGAUAACUUCUGGAAACGGAUGCUAAAACCGGAUAGGUAGCAGACAAGCAUUUGACUGCUAUUAAAGGGGCUAAGGCCAUGAACAUGGAUGGACCUGCGGUGCAUUAGCUGGUUGGUGAGGUAACGGCCCACCAAGGCGACGAUGCAUAGCCGGGCUGAGAGGGCGGACGGCCACAUUGGGACUGAGACGCGGCCCAAACUCCUACGGGAGGCAGAAGUAGGGAAUUUUCGUCAAUGGGGGGAACCCUGAACGAGCAAUGCCGCGUGAGUGAGGAAGGUCUUCGGAUCGUAAAGCUCUGUUGUAAGAGAAAAACGACAUUCAUAGGGAAUGAUGAGUGAGUGAGGGUAUCUUACCAGAAAGUCACGGCUAACUACGUGCCAGCCGCCGCGGUAA